rnacentral:rRNA from 1 species
CACGUAGGAGGCGAGCGUUGUCCGGAAUCAUUGGGCGUAAAGGGUAUGUAGGUGGUCUCGUUUGUCUGGGGUGAAAGCCUUGAGCUUAACUCAAGAAGUGCCUUAGAAACGGCGAGACUGGAGUACUGGAGAGGGUCGUGGAAUUCCCGGUGUAGCGGUGAAAUGCGUAGAGAUCGGGAGGAACACCAGAGGCGAAGGCGGCGACCUGGACAGUUACUGACACUAAACUACGAAAGCGUGGGGAGCAAACAGG